rnacentral:rRNA from 1 species
ACGCCCUACGGGGGGCAGCAGUGGGGGAUAUUGCGCAAUGGGGGGAACCCUGAUGCAGCGACGCCGCGUGGGUGAAGAAGCGCCUCGGCGCGUAAAGCCCUGUCAGCAGGGAAGAAAAUGACGGUACCUGAAGAAGAAGCCACGGCUAACUACGUGCCAGCAGCCGCGGUAAUACGUAGGGGGCAAGCGUUAUCCGGAUUUACUGGGGGUAAAGGGGGCGCAGACGGCGAUGCAAGCCAGGAGUGAAAGGCCGGGGCCCAA